rnacentral:rRNA from 1 species
UACGUAGGGGGCAAGCGUUGUCCGGAUUCAUUGGGCGUAAAGAGCGUGUAGGCGGCCAGGUAGGUCGGUUGUGAAAACUGGAGGCUCAACCUUCAGAGGUCGACCGAAACCAUCUGGCUAGAGUCCGGGAGAGGAGAGUGGAAUUCCUGGUGUAGCGGUGAAAUGCGCAGAUAUCAGGAAGAACACCCGUGGCGAAAGCGGCUCUCUGGAACGGUACUGACGCUGAGAAGCGAAAGCAUGGGGAGCGAACAGG